UACGAAGGGGGCUAGCGUUGUUCGGAUUUACUGGGCGUAAAGCGCACGUAGGCGGCUCGUUAAGUCGGGGGUGAAAUCCUGGGGCUCAACCCCAGAACUGCCUUCGAUACUGGCGAUCUAGAGUCCGGAAGAGGUGAGUGGAACUCCUAGUGUAGAGGUGGAAUUCGUAGAUAUUCGCAAGAACACCAGUGGCGAAGGCGGCCAACUGGUCCGAUACUGACGCUGAGGUGCGAAAGCGUGGGGAGCAAACAGG
rnacentral:rRNA from 1 species